ACUGUUAGAGAUGUAUUCUCUUUUAAAAUGCCUAGCUGAGUGCUGUGGUUGAGUUGGAAGGAUUGCUUGAUUUCAGGAGUGCUGGACGCUGUGCACUAUGGCAGUUGAGUGUCUGCAUCAAGUUCAGCAUCAGUAUGGUGACCUACAGGUUGCCUGAGGACAGGUGAACCAGCCUAGGCUGGAAAUAGAGCAGGUCAAAACUCCUGUGCGGGUAGUGGUGGGAUUGCACCUGUGAAUAGCCACUGUACUGCAGCCUGGGAAGCAGUGAGACCCUGUCUCU
rnacentral:SRP_RNA from 1 species